rnacentral:pre_miRNA from 1 species
CAACUACUUCCUCUGUCCCAAAUUUCUUGUCUUAGAUUUGUCUAGAUACGAAUGUAUCUAAUACUAAAAUGUGACUUGAUACAUCCUUAUCUAGACAAAUCUAAGACAAGAAUUUUGGGACGGAGGGAGUACUUU